AUGCCAUUCUCGGCCUUUUGACUAAGAUCAAGUAUAGUAUUUUAUUCUAAUCAGUGAAGGGUCACAUGAUAUAAUUCAAUUUUUUUAAGGGGAAGGUCCAUUAGAGUUGCUUGCUUCUUGGGCCUUCGUGUGUUACCUAGGUGUUGCACUUCAGGUACAUAAGCAACAACCCUCUU
rnacentral:snRNA from 1 species